UACGGAGGAUGCAAGCGUUAUCCGGAAUGAUUGGGCGUAAAGGGUCCGCAGUGGCAAUGUAAGUCUGCUGUCAAAGAAUGAGGCUUAACCUCAUCAAGCAGUGGAAACUACAUAGCUAGAGUACGGUCGGGGGUAGAAGGAAUUCCUGGUGUAGCGGUGAAAUGCGUAGAGAUCAGGAAGAACACCGGUGGCGAAAGCGUUCUGCUAGACCUGUACUGACACUGAGGGACGAAAGCUAGGGGAGCGAAUGGG
rnacentral:rRNA from 1 species